CAUCCGCUCCCCGAACUUGUCCUGCAGCGGGUCCAGCAUCGUCACGUACCCUUGGGAGCGCAUCUUGUUAGCGAAGAGCACGCCGCCUGGACGAGGGGAGAAGGGAACGAGUACAGGCUUCUUCUUCGCCGCCCAGAUGCCGACGACGAGGAUGAGAAGGUAGAAGAGGACGAUGGCGAUGAUUCCUCCAACGUUGAUAGUCAUGGUGGCGGCUGAGAAGGUGGUGUCGCACAGCUGACGCGAGGGGGCGUGGCGCGGCAGACAAACAUCAGCUGAUCGUCCGGGCGGCUCCGUGGAGAGGAAGACAGCCAGGGUGAAUUUCGACAACAACGACAAGCAACCUGUUUUAUAUGGAUGACAGCACACACCCGUCAAGCUGCAGUAAGAGGGAGGCUGUGGAUGAUUGCCUAUAACCAGUCUUCUGAUGAAUUUCUCAAUCAACUUUCAAUGGAAGGAUGGCUUGUAUUCUCCACACCAACUCCCUGACUUAGCUUGGACCAAUACACAUGGACAUGGAGACUACAAGAGGCCAGGCAGUCUACACCUGGUGGCAGUCUAGCAGCUGAGUUCACCAAAACACAUCUAUUGUGGAACUUUCCAAGGACAAUCUACACAACACACUGGACAGCCUACUGGACAUGGAGACAAAAAGAAUGCAAGUGGACAAAUGACCACUUACUACAGUACUGUGAUGGUGCUGGGUCUGGUAACAGUGGUAGCUAUGAACUCAAGAGACUCAACUGCUGGGGUCAACCUGGAUUGGUGUCACCCAGUCCAGUGUUCCACAGACAGCUGACGAGGACCAAGUUCACAGCUACUGCUAAUACGAGAUGUAGCGCAAACACAAUACUGGAGUAGGUGGCCUCAAGUCUUCAGGAGCUGUACCAAGGAGCAGAUAACCAAAUCAACUCUGUAAUCUAAUAAAUAAAAGUUAAUGAGUAGA